rnacentral:misc_RNA from 1 species
GAUGAAGAACGUAGCGAAAUGCGAUAAGUAAUGUGAAUUGCAGAAUUCAGUGAAUCAUCGAAUCUUUGAACGCACCUUGCGCCCUUUGGCUAUUCCGAAGGGCAUGCCUGUUUGAGUAUCAUGAAAACCUCAACUCUCAUGGCUUGCCAUGAUGAGCUUGGACUCUGGGGGUCUUGCUGGCUUUACGGUCAGCUCCUCUCAAAUAAAUCAGCUUGCCGGUGUUUGGUGGGAUCACAGGUGUGAUAACUAUCUACGCUUGUGGUUUUCCGCCAGGUAACCUUCAGCAAUGGAGGUUCGCUGGAGCUCAUAAAUGUCUCUCCUCAGCGAGGACAGAUUUUGACCGUUUGAUUUCAAAUCAGGUAGGACUACCCGCUGAACUUAAGCAUAUCAAUAAGCGGAGGA